CGCAUUGUCAACCCAAAGAGACCGAGUCUCUUCAUCCAUCUCCACGAAAAUCGCCCUUUUAUUGGCAUGUUCAAAUGCUUCUGCAGCUUUCAAUUUUUUAUUUGCCUCAAGUCCAGGCAUGCUAUUUAAUAUCUUCAUACAUGCUUUGACUGAGUAAGCUUCUAUCUGUUGUGCUGCAUUUUUCUUUGAUUCAGCGAUGAUGAGUGAUGCGUCCGCUAGGCGAUCAAUUGCGUUUAUAGCAUCAUCAGCUGAUCGCUUAUGCCCCUUUGAAGAUACAGCACCGAGUCCGGAUGCAGUAGAGCUCGCACAUAUGUCUUGCAGGUCUAUCCAACUAGGCCACACUUUAUCUCGGAUGACGAAUCUGCAAAUUGAAUGCUGCUGAUGAAAACAAGUUCAGGAAGAGAUCCCUUGUCUUCCCAGCAGCGGCCAACUGCCAGUAAUCGGUGUUCCCAGCCUAGCGCCGGCGGCCAAGGAAUCGGUGAUCACAACAGGUGUUAGCGGCUAGCCAUUGAACUAGGUUUCCAGAUCUGUUUUGCCGAGGUUUGUUCUACCACCGUCCAGUUUAUAUAGAAGCGAUGGAAA